rnacentral:rRNA from 1 species
AUUGAACGCUGGCGGCAGGCCUAACACAUGCAAGUCGAACGAGUGGCGGACGGGUGAGUAAUGUCUGGGAAACUGCCAGAUGGAGGGGGAUAACUACUGGAAACAGUAGCUAAUACCGCAUACCAUCGGAUGUGCCAAGAUGGGAUUAGCUAGUAGGUGGGGUAACGGCUCGCCUAGGCGACGAUCCCUAGCUGGUCUGAGAGGAUGACCAGCCACACUGGAACUGAGCCACGGCCCAGACCCCUACGGGAGGGAGCGGUGGGGAGUGUUGCACAAUGGGCUCAAGGCUGAUGCAGCCAUGCCGAGUGUAGGAAGAAGGCCUUCGGGUUGUAAAGGACUUUCAGCGAGGAGGCGUUACUCGCAGAAGAAGCACCGGCUAACUCCGUGCCAGCAGCCGCGGUAAUAC